CUAGGGUAAUUUGGUUCUGCAUAUCUGUUUCAAUCCACUCGACGCUACUAAAGCAAAAAAGAAAAAAUUAAAAAAAUGGCGUGGAUCUGACUAAUGCUUGAUAAAUGGGGGAGUCUGAGCAAAAUAUAUUUACCUUGCCUAUCAGAUUUUGUUCUCAUUACUAUUCUGUACUUAUGAAUAAACUAUUUCCAUCUGAAUUUAGCUAGGUUAUUUUGUAUGGUUUUCGUAUCCUAAUUUUUUAUCAAAUUUACGAUUCUUCUUUUCAAACAUUAGUGAUCUUCUGUUCUUUGCAAACAUUCCUUCCCUGGUUUGGUUUUCAUGGUGUGCUUUAUAGUUUUCCGGUGAUUGAAAGAGAAUCUGGAAAUUUCUGCUCAUUUGUCAAAACUCUCUAUUUUUGGAUUUACUCUUAGAAUAUUUUUCCUAUUUAGAUUUUCCUAAAGUGCAUGUUUGUCAUUCGUUUAAUCUUUGCCCUCUACUUCUCUUCACUGUUCUCUUCGUUGCGAACCCUGGUUUCAUGUUUUUUUACACCCUUGAGAUUUUCCAAACCUGCAAGCUCUGUUUUUUUUACUUAUUUUUACGUAGAUUCCGAACAUUAGAAGAUGGAGAUUUCUGCUAUGUUUGUCAUUAGUUUAAUGUUUUUGCUCUACUCCUUUUUUGCUAACACUGGCUUCAUGUUUUUUUGGUCCUUGGGAUUUCUGGAAACUGCAAAUUGUGUUUUCCAACUCACUUUUACAUACAUUUGUUUUUUCUUUACUUCCUUUUUCCUGUGUGUGUUUUAGUGUCCUUCGAUUACUUGGUUAUUUUACAUCAUUGUUCUGAGGUUUGGUCCAGGUAAAACUCUUUCCUUUCCCCUUUCCUUCAGCAUGGUUUCAAAGAAAAAAAAAACCCUGGAAUCUGCAGGCCCCUCCUUCCCCCUUUCCUUCAGCAUGGUUUAAAAAGUAUAUAUUGGAUGCGCCUUGGAAUCCGCAAGCCCCUUUUUUGGUUUCUAGAUGUUCCCUAUGUCUACCUGAUGGCUGCAGAUUCUUUCUUGAUAUCUGUAGUUCUGUCCUGUGCGGUUUAUAGCAAUGUUUUGUCUGUUGUGGGUUACUUUGCUUGCACCUGAAUGUGAUAAGAAUUUGAACCUUCUAUUCCCCGAGGCUUUGUCUUCCCUGCUUUCCUCCCGUGCUAUGAUGACCUUCCCAAUGUUAGAUGGUUGUGAUAAUUGAGAGGGGCCUGCGCCUUCUUGAUUGGUAAUGAGAGUACUUUGGAUGGCUUACUUCGUAAGCAACCGGUUGUUCUCAUUUGUGCUAAGAAUAGUUUCGACGUGUGCAUGGUUUCUAGCUCGGUCAGCACUACUAAUCAGGAAGGCUUCGCUGCCAAUCUAAUAAUGCUCGAUCACUAGGGUAGUGUGGGCAAAAUUUAUUUAUUUAUUUCCAUACCUACUCAUGUUUGCUGCUCCUCUUCACUUUUCUCUUCUUUGUAAACAGUGUUCUCAUAUUUUUUUAAGCUAUUGGGAUUUUCCCAAAUUGCAUCUUUGGCUUUGAUUUGUCAAAUCUGUGUUUUCGGCUUGCUUUUACCUGCAUUCGAUUUCUUUUUCCCUUUUUGUUUCAACAUCCUUUGAAGACUUAGUUAUUUUACAUCAUUAUUUCAAGGUUUUCUACAGAUAAAACUCUGUUCUUUUGCUUUUCCUUCAACCUGAUUUUCAAAACAAAAAAAAAUUAUAUGCCGUGGAAUCCGCAAGUCCCUUUUUUGGUUUCUGCAGGUUCCCAAUGUCUUCCUGCUGGCUGUCGGCUCUUUGUUGUUCUUCAUAGCUGUGUCCUGUGUAGUUUAUAAUAAUGUUUUGUCCUUUGCGGGGGGUACUUUACUUUCGCCUCUUUUUGUCCCAUACUAUGAUUACCUUCCCUUGAAUGUUAGAUGACUGCGACAAUUGAGCUUUCGCCUGUUAUUGUCCCAUACUAUGCUGACCUUCCCUUGAAUGUGAAAUAAUUGCGAUAAUUGAGAGGGGCCCGGGCCUUCUUGGCUGGUGGUUAGAGCACUUUGGAUGGCCUGCAUCAUAGGCAACCGAUUGCUACUUCAUUUAUUUGAAAUUUAAGUUGAUGCCUUUGUUUUAAAUUAAGAAACUUCUAUAUACUCAAUGCAUGAGGUGGCUUGGAUUUACCGAUGGUAGUUGGUACAACAAUGUGCUGAUAUUUAGUUGUACUGAAAAUUGCGAUUCUACCUUUUGGGGAACGUAAUCCUUGGGCAAUUAACUGUGAUUUAGUGUUCUGAUGUUGUUCAAAUUUUGGUGUACACAUGUGAUUCUAACCUACUGAUUCAAAAUUUGCCAACAGUUCUCUUAUUUGCAUUCUUUACUUGCACAAGCUGUGAGAUUGGAUCACCUCAUGUUUAGUUGGUGGCCAAAUAUGAUCCUCUGAUAUUUUAUUUUUGAUUGGUUGUCGGAUUAUUUGUGAGAAAGCAGUUUUACAUAUGUUUUUUUGUAUUCAAAAUUUGGUAUUCGUAUCUUUGUUUGGGAUUAAAUGUGGUAGAUUUGGAUAGAGUCAGUUUUACAGAUAAUUGGUUGUACUCAAAUAUGAUAUUCCUGUCUUUGUUUUGGAUUAAAUGUGGUAGCUUUGCAUGGACUCGACUGCUUCGAUACAUUGUUGUUUUACUAAUACUCCUUUGUUUCUUUUAUUCUUUUCUGUUUCUUGCUAUUUUCUAUCUCUUCUUUGAGGCGAUGAUGAUAAGUAGAGGAAAACGUGAAAAAUGAUGGCUUCGAACAAGCGGAAGUUUGGACGGCCUAUUUAUAGGCAACCACUUCCUAUUGUUCUUAUCCUUGGUCGUUGCACACAUGUUCCUCCUACGGCGAUGAUGAUAGAUGAAAGAAAUCUCACUUCGAAUGUCCUCUUGGUCGAUAGGAGUGCACACUCCUAAUUAAAUAUGUCUUUCAUCUGAGCCUCAAACAAAAAAUUUCAAUUGGUUCAUAUUUAUUUAGCUUCUUCUGUGAGUUUUUUCCCCCUCCUGAUUAAAUAUGCCUUUCAUCUGAGCCUAUGUAUUUAGCUUCUUCUGUGAGUCUUUUGUCCCUCCCCCCAGGUGGUGACUACUGUAUAAGGUUACUUUAUACUUUGUUCGAUUUUAAAAUUUGCACUGCACAGAUCACUUU